AAAGUAACAAGGAUGACAUGAGUCAGUUGUUGCUGGCCCUUUUAGAGCAUGUGCACGCUUGGCUAUUGUUUCUUAAACCACUUGUGCACCUUUUGUAGACUUUGGGUAAAGUUUUGAGUCGAGAGUGAUCUUGGCCCUUAUACUCCAAAGUCUAUGUCUUUUCAUAUCAUUUACUCUAUGUAUAAGAAUGUUUUCUAAGGCAUUUCUUUGAUGCCUUCUAUGUCUUUCCAUAUCAUUUACUCUAUGUAAAAAAAUGUUCUCCAAAGCAUUUAUGACAACCUAAAUCAUAUACAACUUUCAACAACGGAUCUCUUGGCUCUCGCAUCGAUGAAGAACGCAGCGAAAUGCGAUAAGUAAUGUGAAUUGCAGAAUUCAGUGAAUCAUCGAAUCUUUGAACGCACCUUGCGCUCCUUGGUAUUCCGAGGAGCAUGCCUGUUUGAGUGUCAUGAAAUUCUCAACCUUUGUUACUUUUUUGUUUCAAAGUGUUUGGAUGUGGGAGUUUGCUGGCUUUUUGUGUUCAAAGAGUCAGCUCUUCUGAAAUACAUUAGUGGGACCCAUCGUUGAUUUAGCCCCUGGUGUGAUAGUUAUCUACGCCGUGGCUUUGCACGAUAAUGUGUGGUUCAGCUUUUUUACAGGACAAGAAUUAACUGU
rnacentral:rRNA from 1 species